CGUUACCAAACUGUUGCCUCGGCGGGAUCUCUGCCCCGGGUGCGUCGCAGCCCCGGACCAAGGCGCCCGCCGGAGGACCAACCAAAACUCUUAUUGUAUACCCCCUCGCGGGUUUUUUUAUAAUCUGAGCCUUCUCGGCGCCUCUCGUAGGCGUUUCGAAAAUGAAUCAAAACUUUCAACAACGGAUCUCUUGGUUCUGGCAUCGAUGAAGAACGCAGCGAAAUGCGAUAAGUAAUGUGAAUUGCAGAAUUCAGUGAAUCAUCGAAUCUUUGAACGCACAUUGCGCCCGCCAGUAUUCUGGCGGGCAUGCCUGUCCGAGCGUCAUUUCAACCCUCGAACCCCUCCGGGGGGUCGGCGUUGGGGAUCGGCCCUGCCUCUUGGCGGCGGCCGUCUCCGAAAUACAGUGGCGGUCUCGCCGCAGCCUCUCCUGCGCAGUAGUUUGCACACUCGCAUCGGGAGCGCGGCGCGUCCACAGCCGUUAAACACCCAACUUCUGAAAUGUUGACCUCGGAUCAGGUAGGAAUACCCGCUGAACUUAAGCAUAUCAAUA
rnacentral:rRNA from 1 species